GACGAACGCUGGCGGCGUGCCUAAUACAUGUAAGUCGAACGCUUCUUUCCUCCCGAGUGCUUGCACUCAAUUGGAAAGAGGAGUGGCGGACGGGUGAGUAACACGUGGGUAACCUACCCAUCAGAGGGGGAUAACACUUGGAAACAGGUGCUAAUACCGCAUAACAGUUUAUGCCGCAUGGCAUAAGAGUGAAAGGCGCUUUCGGGUGUCGCUGAUGGAUGGACCCGCGGUGCAUUAGCUAGUUGGUGAGGUAACGGCUCACCAAGGCCACGAUGCAUAGCCGACCUGAGAGGGUGAUCGGCCACACUGGGACUGAGACACGGCCCAGACUCCUACGGGAGGCAGCAGUAGGGAAUCUUCGGCAAUGGACGAAAGUCUGACCGAGCAACGCCGCGUGAGUGAAGAAGGUUUUCGGAUCGUAAAACUCUGUUGUUAGAGAAGAACAAGGACGUUAGUAACUGAACGUCCCCUGACGGUAUCUAACCAGAAAGCCACGGCUAACUACGUG
rnacentral:rRNA from 1 species